rnacentral:rRNA from 1 species
UACGUAGGGGGCAAGCGUUGUCCGGAAUUAUUGGGCGUAAAGAGCGUGUAGGCGGUUCGGUAAGUCGGCUGUGAAAGUCCAGGGCUCAACCCUGGGAUGCCGGUCGAUACUGCCGGACUAGAGUUCGGAAGAGGCGAGUGGAAUCCCAGUGUAGCGGUGAAAUGCGCAGAUAUCGGGAGGAACACCAACGGCGAAGGCAGCUCGCUGGGACGGAACUGACGCUGAGGCGCGAAAGCGUGGGGAGCGAACAGG